AGUUCAUUGGCCCCAGUGCCGUCCUCGCCCUGGAAGAUGGUGGCCAAACAGAGGAUCCGCAUGGCCAACGAGAAACACAGCAAGAACAUCACGCAGAGAGGAAACGUCGCCAAGACGCUGCUAUGUUGACAUCAUCGCUGACCGUAAAAGCUUCCCCUCCGCAAACAUGUAACAUGUCCAAACAGAUGACAUCAUCGUGGGGCCAAUCCUCUGGAUCAGGAGCCGCAAUGUGGGGAAGGAAUAAAAAAGACGCUAACCCUGCACAAACUCUGCACCUUUUAGUUCCCUAAUGAGACGAUGGGAUGUUUUCAACACAACCCGCAGAGUUGUUUAUGCGGGACAUUUUUGAUGAGCCGCAGCUUCAUCUUGUUAUGUUUUGGAAAAAACAAGAUAAGUGAUAGUUGUAGGUUCAAGCAAAAAAAAAGUGACUAAGAUGAUUUCUUUUAAAAGCUGUAGCAACAGCAACAUUGGGAAGAAGAGAAACUGUUUUACUUUUGCCUCGCAUUCUUAUGCUUUCUUUACUAAUCUACACCAUGUGUGUGUGAUUCUUUCAUAUAGCGACCGCAGGAGGAGAAGUAUCCAGUGGGUCCCUGGCUGCUCGCCCUCUUUGUUUUUGUUGUGUGUGGAUCAGCCAUAUUUCAGAUCAUCCAGAGCAUCCGUAUGGGGAUGUGACUCGGGGAAACUGUGGACCCCCCUCGCCUUCCUCAUGCCCUCACGGAGCCCGGCCACCCUGCGUCUGCACACUGGAGAGCCCUCUCCCUCUGCAGAGGCCCAGAGACACAACCCCCCCGCCCCACGGACAAACCCUUCCCCUGGAUCGUCGUCAACAGUGUUGCAGUCUGUGGUUCUGACAGCUUUUCUAUGGACAGUCUACAACCACGAUGGCUGGAGAGCACGUUGUGUCUCUCGCUUGGCGCCUGUAUAUGUGCGUGUUAAAGGGAUAUUUAGUUGUCUUUUAACUGGGGUUGUGUGAAGUUCUUCUUAUGAGUACCUGCAAUAGCCAGCAGUCUUUCUUAACUGCUGAACAUCUGAAUUGUAAGAUCAUGUUGCAGGAUGGGCCAUCUUUCACUUUUCAUGAAAAUGACUAAAUAUACUGUUCUCUCAAACCGCUGUGAAAUGUUUUUAGUUUUGCAGUCAAGAAACUGACCACUCAAGAGCACUUCACAUAAGCUCACCUAAAAGGAAAAAAAAACAACGAAAUAUCCCUAUAAAAGGUGUUCUGCAAACAAUGUGCCAUAAUUCUCUAUUUAACUAUUUGUCUGUGUUGUAUAAGAACUGUUUUUUUUUUAGUUUUUUUUUUAAUAAAUAUUGAGCAUUUAAAGAGUACCCACUUUUAAUUGUGCUUUUGCAGUUUGCAGACUAUGUUUCUGACUGCACAGGAUGGUACCGGAGCAGGCCGAGUCCAUGUAGUCGUAGUGCCAAACCUCUGGAAACAGCUGCCCCUGCAUGUGAGGCAGCCUUCUACACUGCCUGUUUUUACAUUUCAUUUAUUUCUUUUGCUUGACUUUUAAUUAUGUAUGAAUACAUUUUGAAUAUCAUUUUCAUAGUUUUAUUUAUUUUGUAUUGCUUUGAAAUGAGCAGUGAUUUAAAUGUGCUUUAUAAAUAAACCUGACA